GGGCCUUGUUGAUGACAAUUAUACCAUCAAACCAUGAAAGCUCAAAAAUAAGCUUGAAGAUCUUUAAUUCUUAACUCUCUGAGCCC